rnacentral:rRNA from 1 species
UACGUAGGGUGCAAGCGUUAAUCGGAAUUACUGGGCGUAAAGCGUGCGCAGGCGGUUGUGCAAGACCGAUGUGAAAUCCCCGGGCUUAACCUGGGAAUGGCAUUGGUGACUGGCAGGCUUUGAGUGUGGCAGAGGGAGGUAGAAUUCCACGUGUAGCAGUGAAAUGCGUAGAGAUGUGGAGGAAUACCGAUGGCGAAGGCAGCCUCCUGGGCCAACACUGACGCUCAUGCACGAAAGCGUGGGGAGCAAACAGG